UACGGAGGGUGCGAGCGUUGUUCGGAAUUACUGGGCGUAAAGGGCGCGUAGGCGGCCAACUAAGUCAGACGUGAAAUCCCUCGGCUCAACCGGGGAACUGCGUCUGAUACUGGAUGGCUUGAAUUCGGGAGAGGGAUGCGGAAUUCCAGGUGUAGCGGUGAAAUGCGUAGAUAUCAGGAGGAACACCAAUUGCGAAGGCAGCUCGCUGGGACGUUACUGACGCUGAGACGCGAAAGCGUGGGGAGCAAACAGG
rnacentral:rRNA from 1 species